GGCACUUACCGUCCCGUGGGCAGGUGCUGAUGAUGUGCUGUACGCUCACCGCGCACCUGUCCACAUACUCGUCGUAGCUCUCGGCUGGCAGGAGGGAGGCGAGAGGAAACGCAGGCCUGAGGAGGAGAGAGAGGAGCCUGCCACGCCGUGGCCCGCGUGCCCGCGGCCCCUGGAGAAGGAGAAGCCCGGCCCGGGGGCCCCACCUCGAGGCAGGGUGUGCAGCCGGGCGGCGUGUCCCCAACCCGCAAAGCGCCGGCGUCCGAUCUCCAGCAGCGCCCUCCCCGAGUGCCAGGAGGGUUUUGUGAUGGCAAAGAGUCGGCGACGGGCAGAGGAUGAGGGAACUUGGCUCCCUGACCGCACCCCAGCCAGGCUCCUGGAGCCCGCGUCUCCCGGGCCCGCGGCUGGGCUUCCGUGUCCAACCGUGUAGACUCAGUAGCAAGACUCCAGCGAACACCGUGAAACCGGAGCCCCCCUCCCCAUGUUUGAGCUCUGUGGCCAACAGAAUACGAGUGUUUGUCACCUUCCAAGUUCAGUUUGCUUUUCACGCACAGAGAGAGGCAGAGACACAGG